CAGCAAAGUAACACUGAAGGUUGAUGGGAACUCCAUCAGUUCUAGAAGGUACUCAAAGCCAUUAGAACACAGAGGCACAAUUGUGCUGGGCUACAGUCUAAGGCCAGUAGAGAGGCAGCAUGGUUUUGUUGGCUGCAUGCACAGAAUUAAAAUACAAGGUCAGCGACUAGAUCCAAUACGCCUGAUGUCUUCCUCAGCUGCUAUAGGCCUCUUGCUGGAUGGGUGUCAGUUGACUGACCACUGUUCUAACAACAACAUAUGUGAACAUAACUCUGUAUGUCUGUCCGACUGGGAUGGCACACACUGCAUAUGUCCAGGGGACCAUUACGUAGGGAAAGCCUGCCAUUUCU